AUGAACGCUGGCGGCGUGCCUCAGACAUGCAAGUCAUACGGGAAAGUGGUUUCGGCCACGAGUACAGUGGCGCACGGGUGAGUAUACUUAGGUAACAUGCCUCUUCGCUGGGGAUAAACUAGGGGAAGGAAACUUUAGCUAAUACCGAAUGCGUCGGAAGAGAUUGAAAUAUCUUCGAGAAAGCCGUAAGGCGCGAAGAGAUUGGCCUGAGCACGAUUAGCUAGUUGGUAGGUGUAAAAGCUACCAAGGCUACGAUCGGUAGCUGUUUGAGAGAAUGAUCAGCCACACUGGUACUGGAACACGGACCAGACUCCUCGGGAGGCAAGCAGUUAGGAAUUUUGCGCAAUGGGCGAAGCCUGACGCAGCAACGCCGCGUGAGGGAUGAAGGCCUUCGGGUUGUAAACCUCCUUUCAGUUGGGGAAAAGACAAUGAUGGUACCAACAGAAAGAAGCACCGGCUAACUACGUGCCAGCAGCCGCGGUAAUACGUAGGUGGUGCAAGCGUUAUUCGGAUUUACUGGGCGUAAAGCGCAUGUAGGCGGUUUUAUAAGUCUGAUGUGAAAAGCCCUGGACUCAAUCCAGGAAGUGCAAUUGGAUACUGUAAGACUAGAGUAUAGGAGAGGUGGACGGAAUUUCUGGUGUAGAGGGUGAAAUUCGUGAGAUAUCAGAAGGAACAACAGAGGCGAAGGCGGUUCCACUGGACUAUAACUGACGCUGAGAUGCGAAAGUGUGGGGAGCAAACAGGAUUAGAUACCCCUGGUAGUCCACACUGUAAACGAUGGAUACUAGAUGUCGGAGGUUCUUACCCUCCGGUAUCGAAGCUAACGCGUUAAGUAUCCCGCCUGGGAAGUACGGCCGCAAGGUUUAAAACCAAAGAAAUUGACGGGGCCCGCCAAGCGGUGGAUUAUGUGGUUUAAUUCGAUGGCAACGCGCAAAACCUUACCUGGGCUUGACAUCCCACGCUAUCCGGUGAAUGAAAAGUCGGAGUUCCCUUCGGGGACGUGGAGGACAGGUGCUGCAUGGCUGUCGGUUCAGCUCGUGUCGUGAGAUGUUGGUUAAGUCCCGCAACGAGGCAACCCUUGUUGUUAGUUGCCAGCAUUAAGUUGGGCACUCUAGCAAGACCGCUAGCCGAUAAGGCAGAGGAAGGUGGGGAUGACGUCAAGUCCGCAUGGCCCUUACGCCCAGGGCUACACACGUAAUACAAUGGAUAGUACAAGCGGACGCUAACUGUGAAAGUCAUGCUAAUCGUUUAAAACUAUUCUCAGUUCGGAUUGUAGUCUGCAACUCGACUACAUGAAGCUGGAAUCGCUAGUAAUCGCGGAAUAAGCAUGCCGCGGGUGAAUACGUUCCCGGGCCUUGUACACACCGCCCGUCACGCCAUGGGAGUUGGUGUUGCCUGAAAAGGAUGGAGCUAACCGCAAGGAGGCAGUUCUAAUGGUGAUACCGAUUGACUGGGGUG
rnacentral:rRNA from 1 species